UUGGUUAUGCUAGAAAGAGCGCAGGGUGGAUGCCUUGGCACUAAGAGCCGAUGAAAGACGUGAUAAGCUGCGAAAAGCUUCGGGGAGGAGCAAAUAUCCAACGAUCCGGAGAUUUCUGAAUGGGGAAACCCACAUGAGGAAACCUCAUGUAUCCAUAACUGAAUCCAUAGGUUAUGGAGGGGAACCCGGUGAACUGAAACAUCUAAGUAGCCGGAGGAAGAGAAAGAAACAUCGAUUCCGGGAGUAGCGGCGAGCGAAACCGGAAGAGCCCAAACCAGCGUGCGUGCAUGCUGGGGUUCGGACCGCGGAAGUGAUCCAACGAGUUUAGCAGAAUGGUUUUGGGAAAGCCAGCCAGAGAGGGUGAAAGCCCCGUAAGCGAAAGACGAGUUGGCACGGCGGGAUCCAGAGUACUACGAGACACGAGAAACCUUGUAGGAAGGAGCGGGGACCACCCCGUAAGGCUAAAUACUCCUUAGUGACCGAUAGCGCAUAGUACUGUGAAGGAAAGGUGAAAAGGACCCCGGGAGGGGAGUGAAAGAGAACCUGAAACCCUGUGUUUACAAGCUGUGGAACAUCUAUAGAGAGAUGGACCGCGUACUUUUUGUAGAACGGUCCGGCGAGUUACGCUGGCUGGCGAGGUUAAGGACUGAAGGUCCGGAGCCGAAGGGAAACCAAGUCUGAACAGGGCGAGAAAGUCAGUCAGAGUAGACCCGAAACCGGGUGAUCUAUCCAUGUCCAGGUUGAAGUUGCCGUAAAAGGCAAUGGAGGACCGAACCCACAUCCGUUGAAAAGGGUGGGGAUGAGGUGUGGAUAGGGGAGAAAUUCCAAUCGAACCCGGAGAUAGCUGGUUCUCCUCGAAAUAGCUUUAGGGCUAGCCUCGAUAGAGUCUGAUGGAGGUAGAGCACUGAAUUUCCUAGGGGGCGUCAAAGCUUACCGAAGAAUAUCAAACUCCGAAUGCCAUUGAGAUGCUUAUCGGGAGUCAGACUACACGAGAUAAGUUGGGUAGUCAAAAGGGAAAGAGCCCAGACCUGCAGCUAAGGUCCCAAAGUGUGUGUUAAGUGGAAAAGGAUGUGGGAUUUCGAAGACAACUAGGAUGUUGGCUUAGAAGCAGCCAUCCAUUAAAAGAGUGCGUAAUAGCUCACUAGUCGAGAGGUCCUGCGCCGAAAAUGUCCGGGGCUGAAACACACCACCGAAGCUCAGGAAUGCGGGGUUAUUGAACUUGUUCAAUAACAUACACCCGCAUUGGUAGAGGAGCAUUGCAUACGGGAAGAAGCAGUACCGGAAGGAGCUGUGGACUGUAUGGAAGAGAGAAUGCCGGAAUGAGUAGCGAGAGGAAGGUGGGAAUCCUUCCGGCCGAAUAUCUAAGGUUUCCAGGGUAAAGCUGAUCUGCCCUGGGUAAGUCGGGGCCUAAGGCGAGGCCGAGAGGCGUAGUCGAUGGACAACAGGUAGAGAUUCCUGUACUACGAUAUGACAGAACUGUGGGGACGCAGAAAGAGAGCGCGAGCCGGGAAUGGAAAGACCGGUGCAAGCGAGGUACCAGUCUGGCAGGCAAAUCCGCCAGGCAAUGGGAAGACGUGAUGCGGAGUGAACUAGAAGUAACGAAGCGCGUGAGCUGGCUGCCAAGAAAAGCCGCUAUUGUUCAUAUCGUACCCGUACCGUAAACCGACACAGGUGGAUGAGGAGAGAAUCCUAAGGCCGACGGGAGAAGCAUUGUUAAGGAACUCGGCAAAAUGACUCCGUAACUUCGGGAGAAGGAGUGCCAGUGAGAGCUGGCCGCAGAGAAUAGGCCCAAGCAACUGUUUAGCAAAAACACAGGUCUAUGCAAAACCGAAAGGUGAGGUAUAUGGGCUGACGCCUGCCCGGUGCUGGAAGGUUAAGGGGAGAGGUUAGCGCAAGCGAAGCUUUGAACUUAAGCCCCAGUAAACGGCGGCCGUAACUAUAACGGUCCUAAGGUAGCGAAAUUCCUUGUCGGGUAAGUUCCGACCCGCACGAAAGGCGUAAUGAUUUGGGCACUGUCUCGACAAUGCACCCGGUGAAAUUGAAGUACCAGUGAAGAUGCUGGUUACCUGCGCCAGGACGGAAAGACCCCAUGGAGCUUUACUCCAGCUUGAUACUGGGACUCGGUAUUGCAUGUACAGGAUAGGUGGGAGGCGAAGAAUUGGAGACGCCAGUCUCCAAGGAGCCGCUGUUGGGAUACCACCCUUGCGGUAUUGGGUUUCUAACCAGCAGCCGUGAACCGGCUGGGGGACAAUGUCAGGUGGGGAGUUUGACUGGGGCGGUCGCCUCCGAAAGGGUAUCGGAGGCGCUCAAAGGUUCCCUCAGAAUGGUCGGAAACCAUUCGAAGAGUGCAAAGGCAGAAGGGAGCUUGACUGCGACACCGACGGGUGGAGCAGGUACGAAAGUAGGACUUAGUGAUCCGGUGGUAUAAAGUGGGAUUGCCAUCGCUCAACGGAUAAAAGCUACCCUGGGGAUAACAGGCUUAUCACUCCCAAGAGUUCACAUCGACGGAGUGGUUUGGCACCUCGAUGUCGGCUCAUCGCAUCCUGGGGCUGAAGUAGGUCCCAAGGGUUGGGCUGUUCGCCCAUUAAAGCGGUACGCGAGCUGGGUUCAGAACGUCGUGAGACAGUUCGGUCCCUAUCCGGCGUGGGCGUAGGAUAUUUGAGAGGAGCUGUCCUUAGUACGAGAGGACCGGGAUGGACCGGCCGCUGGUGUACCUGUUGCAUUACCAAGUGCAUGGCAGGGUAGCCAAGCCGGGAAGGGAUAAACGCUGAAGGCAUCUAAGCGUGAAGCCCCCCUCAAGAUGAGAUAUCCCAUGCGAAAGCAGUAAGACCCCUUGAAGACGACGAGGUAGAUAGGGCAGAGGUGGAAGUGUGGCAACACAUGGAGCUGACUGUCACUAAUAGGUCGAGGGCAUAACCAAG
rnacentral:rRNA from 1 species